GGAAGAUUCUACAAUCCUCUACUCAGUGUUGAAGAUUCUCCUCUUCUGUCCCACCCCAUCUAGGGGAGCAGAUGUCCUAUGACAUUCACACAGUUCAUUCUGCCGCAGAAGCAGUGCCCUAACAGCGCUGAUCCCACUGCUCUCAGGGAACCCUCUCAUACUGGAUCUAACUGUUUAGACAUGACAGAUCCACCCACCCACUUCCCAAAAGGACAAAGAAGAUAGGACUCAGUGUGCUGGCCCCUUAGAAUCAAAUAUGUUUGCCUCUGACAACUGACCUGUGGGCUGGUUCCAGUCUCCGCCUCACAUGGGCCCCCUCCCUGGGUGUUCACCUAGAACCAUUCCAGUCGCCUUUUUUCCUCGCCUGCUGCCUCACUCCCACCCCCUGCCUUUGUGGGAUUUGUGACAAUCUAUGUUCUUUAAAAUAUUUUCUGGAGUGUAUUUGUGUGUCUUUAGUGGUGGUGGAAUGCUGUAUAAUUAUCUCCCG
rnacentral:lncRNA from 1 species